rnacentral:rRNA from 1 species
UACGAAGGGGGCUAGCGUUGUUCGGAAUUACUGGGCGUAAAGCGCACGUAGGCGGAUAUUUAAGUCAGGGGUGAAAUCCCGGGGCUCAACCCCGGAACUGCCUUUGAUACUGGGUAUCUCGAGUCCGAGAGAGGUGAGUGGAAUUCCGAGUGUAGAGGUGAAAUUCGUAGAUAUUCGGAAGAACACCAGUGGCGAAGGCGGCUCACUGGCCCGGUACUGACGCUGAGGUGCGAAAGCGUGGGGAGCAAACAGG